UACGUAGGGUGCGAGCGUUGUCCGGAAUUAUUGGGCGUAAAGGGCUCGUAGGCGGUUUGUCGCGUCGGGAGUGAAAACACCGGGCUUAACUCGGUGCUUGCUUCCGAUACGGGCAGACUAGAGGCAUGCAGGGGAGAAUGGAAUUCCUGGUGUAGCGGUGAAAUGCGCAGAUAUCAGGAGGAACACCGGUGGCGAAGGCGGUUCUCUGGGCAUUACCUGACGCUGAGGAGCGAAAGUGUGGGGAGCGAACAGG
rnacentral:rRNA from 1 species